GUGUUCCUACAUGUGGGGCCACCACGUCGGAAGAGCACCCCAGGGAGACGCUGCUGGAGAAGACUCAGCCAAGUGAGGUUCAGACACACAUGCCUACUAGCACUGUUCCCAUGGACAGUAAUGUGGUGGCCAUUAUCAUAGCUACCAUUUCUUCUUCAGUGUUCAUCGUGGCCAUUUUGGUGCUGCUGCUGCUUUUGUACCACCGGGACCCUCUGUGCUGCCAGUUUCUGUGCUCUUGCCGUUUCUUCCAGAAUCCCAGUCAAUAUGUGAGUACCGCAUUCGCCUCUCCCGGCCGUUUUGUCCAACUCCCUUGCCCACCAGGUUUCCUAAUCCACUCACUCACUCGCCCACCGUUGGGACCCAAGAUAAAGGGCUGUUUUCUUUGUGCCAUGCGUGCGCUGAGCAGAACACUGGGCACCCUACUCUGUCUUUUGCAAAGGAGCUUUGCACAGCCAAGAUCUCUCCAUUUGCACAGAACAGCCUCGGGUUGUAUUCCCCCCCUUUCUCCUAGAUGGGUCGCAGCCGCUCAAGGUCUAUUUGCAGUCCUCCCCUGCUGGAUUUCAGUGCUGGGCGCUGAGGGAUUUCUAAGCCCCCCUGCUUGCUUCCCACUUUUGUCCACAAACAAAGCCCUUUCACCUGAGCCGUUCCCCAAUUGCCGGGUCUUUGAGCGGGGAUUGUACUGUGGCUGCAUGUGUGGGGAGGAGGCGCAUUGUAGAACUGGGAGAGCAGGAGAAAGUAAUACGCUCCGCGUGACUCAUGUCGGUGGGGCAAUGAGGGACUCCCUCUGUGCCAAAGAGCACGGCACCUCUCCCUUACUCCAGGGCAGGCUCUUUCAGCACCAAGCCUCCCUCCCUCUUUUGCAGGGAAGAAACACAGCAGGACUUGCUACUGUAUGGCAGGGUUAAAUACAGACAAUGCCACUCUUGAUGGCUGGUAUCCCAGCAACCAGUAUUAUGCUUUCCGCCGCUCACGAUUGGGGACAGCCAAAGAGAGAACUUUCUCCCUUUCUUUUCUCCUUCCCUCCCUCCCUCCUUCCCUCUCACCCACCCACCCACUCACACUUUCUUAGGAGUGAUAUUUGUUUUCCAUCAAGUGGAUAAGCAGAGCAGCUAGAAUAAAGGUGGGCCACUUCAUGGCA
rnacentral:lncRNA from 1 species